AGCAACCUGCUCGGGACCCCUCUCUGUGACUGUGAGCUGUUCUGUUCUUUUGCCUAUUAAACUCCUGCUCCAAACUCACUCGAUGUGUGUGUGCAUGUCCUUGACCUCAAUAUCUGGUCGUGUGACCAAGAACCUCAGUAUUCACCCCAGACAACAAGGCUGCUUCAUUUUGAGGGCUCGUCUGGGAUUUGAAGGUGACUUCAUCAGAAUGGAAAGUCUCUGGCUGACAAACAAUUGCCUCCUCAAAUACCAAGCUUUGCUGCUAAAGGGAUCUGCAGUCCAGCUGAAAACCUGCCCUUGCCUGAGCCCAGCCACUUUCUCCCAGAGAAAACUGGAGAACCUAAACAUGAUUGUGAACAGAAUGGCUUCCGGUGGCCUGGGACUCCUUGGGGAAACAGAAAAUGCACCACAAAUCCCAUUUUAGGAAAAAUCUGUUUUCCUCGGAGCCCCUGGAAUUAAAGGCGCAGUAAGAUUGAGGAGCUAAAAACAGACUUGGGUGGAUGUCUGCAGCUGCAAGAAGAUGUGUGGGAACAGACACAGAAACUCUCCCUCCCAGAUAAGCAAGACAAAGAAACACAGAAUAAGAGUCCAUCUAUGUGGUCAGAGAAUGGGAUAAGAGCUGAUUUAAAAAAACUCUGCUCUAUAUAGAAGGCACACCUGGUCCCAACCAAACCACUGGACCCUAGGAGGAUAAGACCUCCUCUGCUCAUGAGCCCCCUCCUCAGUAGCCCAUUUAUAAAAACCCUGACAAUUUUACUACCACUUGGCAACCCGCUCGGGACCCCUCUCUGUGAUGGAGAGCUGUUCUUUUCUUUUGCCUAUUAAACUCCUGCUCCAAAC
rnacentral:lncRNA from 1 species